CAUGCUGUGGCUCACCGGCCUGGGAACAUUCUGGAGAAGGCCACGGGGAGGGGUCUGAGCUCAGCAAGUGGACUGGAGCACUAUGAGCAUGUGAUUGGUUAGAGGUUCAUGUUAUGUAAGUUGUUAUAUAACUUGUUAUAUCAGCACCAUGUGCUAUAAAGUAGCAAGGGGAGGGGCUCCUUGCUGGAGGGACUCUUCCUGAUUCUUUGUAUCAGGGGCUCUCUUUGUGCACAUGAUGAAUAAAGCUUUAUUGAAUUGAAUUGAAUUGAAUCUCAUUGGAUCGAAGUCCCAUGAUUUCUACCCAGCCUCAGACUCACUGGGAACCCCCAAAUCCCAACAGUUUCUUGGCGCAGCGAGCAGGGUUUGAAAUAUUCUUCAGGAUCACGACCUACAAUCAAAUUAGAGGGAAAGAAAUCUUCGGCAGUCCAUGUGGCAAGAUGGACUCAAUGGAAAACGAGCUUGCUAAUGCCUUCAGUACAUCUGCAACGAGCAUCAUCGCUAAACCCUGCCACCCUCAUGCCUAGCCCAGAUGAGGGACACCCGCAUCAUUGUUGCCUUAAGGAAGAGCCCAUGGACCUUCCAUUGGUAAAAGAAACUGAAAUACCUGAUGCCCCUUGCCUAUACGUGGAUGGUUCUUCCUUCUGCGUCAACGGCAAGUGACACACAGGAUGGGCCGUUUGUACUCAAGAUGGGCAGCUGGUGGCGCUUGGCAGUUUACCUGGAGCAUCGGCCCAAGCAGCAGAACUACAGGCAUUAAUUGCAGCAUGUGAAGCUGCGGAAGGUCAUGCUAUAAACAUAUAUACUGAUUCUAGAUACGCGUUUGGGGUUGUACGUGAUUACCUUAACUUGUGGGUAAAUCGAGGAUUCCUGACAAGUACAGGAUCCCCAAUACAAAAUGGGGGGAUAGUGCAGAAACUUCAUGCAGCCAUACAGAAACCUACCAAAGUAGCAGUGAUAAAAGUGAGGGCCCACACAAAAGGGACAGAUCCUCAUAGCAAGGGGAACCAAAGGGCAGAUGAACAAGCUAAACAAGCAGCAGUGGAAAGUAAAGAGACCCAAUUAAUUGCUGCAACACAGCCUCUCAUAAAACCCCCAAAAUUUUUUGAAUUACAGGACAUUCAACACGCUGCUCCAAGGGCAGAGAAGUGGUUAUGGAUGGAUAAUGGGGGCAAACUGUGUGAUGAUAACACUUGGAGAGGUCCAGGGAACACAUUAGUGUUACCAGAUGUGCUAAUGGGAACUAUGAUACAAGUGUAUCACAUGUUGGGACAUGAUGGAGCACGGAGGGUGAUUCACCGUAUGUCAAACACCUGGUGGCACCCUAAGCUUAAUGCAAACGUGCAUGAUUAUGUGAGAAGGUGUGUAAUGUAAUUCUGCUCCCACAGUAAAAGUGAGAAUGCGACAUCAGGCAAGACCAACACAGCCCUUCGAGCAGUUACAAAUAAAUUUUAUUGGUCCCCUGCCAAGGUGCAGAGGGAAAGAAUAUGUUCUGGUGAUCAUGGAUCACUUUACUAAAUGGGUAGAAGCUUUCCCAGUGGCCAAGGCCACUGCAGCUAAUGUAGCUAAAAUAUUGAUGUAAUUACCUGGGGAGGAGCCACUGGAUCAGUUGUAAAUGUCUUCACUCAAAUCUAAUACUAGGGGACUGGGUUAAAAUUUGUUAGUAGCAGGAAUGACAGUUUACUGUGGUAAAAGUGGGGUUCACAUCUAAUCAAGUUAGCUAUUACCUUAACUCAGCAACGGUUGGUCAGGUCCUCACUGUUGUACUCAGUCAUCUAUUAAGAACUACUCAAAUGUAUGAGCAAGCAUUGGUCUAGGCAUGUGGAAAAAUUAUGUUAUCAUCCUGGCAUGGUAACAUCCUGGUGUUCAACAUGAAAGUUGCAGCCCUGCUAGGAGACUCACUCGUGCCACAAGUGCCAUGUUGGGUGAGAGCUGUGGUUCUCGAGAACUGAAUGUCUUCACCUUGGAUGGUGGCAGGGGAGUGGUCCCUAUCGAUAACAGGGGUAUGUUGAGAUGGUCAUCGCAUCCUUGGAGGGGUGUUAAUUCCUGAACUGGAGGCUCAGCCAGGGCACCCACUUCCAUUCGCAUGUCACAGACACCUGUGUAACAUAAGGGCCAGAGAUAACUAUAUGGCUUUCCCAUGGGACCAAUGUUCCAUCCUGGGAGGAUGGAUUUUGUAUAUGGGAAACCUGAAGUCAGGACAAGCCUUAUCUUAAAUGUUGGGACCUGACUUAAUGGUGCAUGUAAUGUAAUUUAAUGAAUGAUAUAGCAGUGAUGAAGUACUCCACUAUCUGGUGUGGAUGUAAGUGGUUAACUUUGGCAGGCAAGCCUUGCUUAAAUAUCUAGUUCUUCCUAUUGUGUUAAGCCUUUAAAAGAAAUAUUAUGAAAGAAGUGGUAGGGCAGUUACAGUGAUUCAGUGAAUAAAAGGGCUUGCCAUUGUAAAAACAAAAACAAAUGGAAAUGGAUUUGGGUUGUGUUCACGCACUAGCAUGAGGACUUAUUAUUUUAUUGAAAAUAUUAUGUAUUAGUUUAUUUUGUUCCUAAAAUUAUAGUUAAGUGUUAAUAAAGCUAAUUAUUGCUCCUAAUAAAUACAAGGAAGUGAUGUUAGUGGGGUCUAAGAAUUGUUCUUAGCCCCAAAACCAAAUGGGGGAGCUGAAGGGUAUGGUUGUGUUUAUUUUAGAUAAAAUGUGGCUUACAGGGUGCUUAUGCAUAGGGAAGCAUGCUGUGGCUCACCGGCCUGGGAACAUUCUGGAGAAGGCCACGGGGAGGGGUCUGAGCUCAGCAAGUGGACUGGAGCACUAUGAGCAUGUGAU